UGGAACUGAGACACGGUCCAGACUCCUACGGGAGGCAGCAGUAGGGAAUCUUCCGCAAUGGGCGAAAGCCUGACGGAGCAACGCCGGGUGAGUGAUGAAGGUCUUCGGAUCGUACAACUCUGUUAUUAGGGAAGAACAAAUGUGUAAGUAACUAUGCACGUCUUGACGGUACCUAAUCAGAAAGCCACGGCUAACUACGUGCCAGCAGCCGCGGUAAUACGUAGGUGGCAAGCGUUAUCCGGAAUUAUUGGGCGUAAAGCGCGCGUAGGCGGUUUUUUAAGUCUGAUGUGAAAGCCCACGGCUCAACCGUGGAGGUCAUUGGAAACUGGAAAACUUGAGUGCAGAAGAGGAAAGUGGAAUUCCAUGU
rnacentral:rRNA from 1 species